GGGUCACUAGCUCAGUGGUAGAGCACCUGACUUUUAAUCAGGGUGUCGAAGGUUCGAUCCCUUCGUGACCCACCA
rnacentral:tRNA from 1 species